GACGAACGCUGGCGGCGUGCUUAACACAUGCAAGUCGAACGGAAAGGCCCUGCUUUUGUGGGGUGCUCGAGUGGCGAACGGGUGAGUAACACGGGAGUAACCUGCCCUUGACGUUGGGAUAACUUCAGGAAACUGGGGCUAAUACCGGAUAGGAGCUCCUGCUGCAUGGUGGGGGUUGGAAAGUUUCGGCGGUUGGGGAUGGACUCGCGGCUUAUCAGCUUGUUGGUGGGGUAGUGGCUUACCAAGGCUUUGACGGGUAGCCGGCCUGAGAGGGUGACCGGCCACAUUGGGACUGAGAUACGGCCCAGACUCCUACGGGAGGCAGCAGUGGGGAAUAUUGCACAAUGGGCGGAAGCCUGAUGCAGCAACGCCGCGUGCGGGAUGACGGCCUUCGGGUUGUAAACCGCUUUCGCCUGUGACGAAGCGUGAGUGACGGUAAUGGGUAAAGAAGCACCGGCUAACUACGUG
rnacentral:rRNA from 1 species